UAGGUGGAGGACAGAUGGAGCCGAUAUUUGCCGUCCCGGAUUUGAACGAUGGAGGAGCCAUGGAGCCCUCACAUGCGGCCCCGAGCAACGAUGCCGACUUACAGGGUUGCGAUGUUACGGAUGGUGAUGGCGAUCUCGCUGAAGUCCCUGUUCCCGCCAGUGUAGCCGAACCAGGACACGGAGU